rnacentral:piRNA from 1 species
UGAUGUCUGAUUUCUAAGCACUUGGUGUCGU